rnacentral:rRNA from 1 species
CAGUCGCCACGGGAAUACGUAGGUGGCAAGCGUUGUCCGGAUUUAUUGGGCGUAAAGGGAGUGUAGGCGGUCUUUUAAGUCUGAUGUGAAAGCCCACGGCUCAACCGUGGAGGGUCAUUGGAAACCGGUUGACUUGAGUGCAGAAGAGGAGAGUGGAAUUCCAUGUGUAGCGGUGAAAUGCGUAGAUAUAUGGAGGAACACCGGUGGCGAAAGCGGCUCUCUGGCUUGUAACUGACGCUGAGGCUCGAAAGCGUGGGGAGCAAACAGGAUUAGAUACCCGCGUAGUCCCUGUCUCUUAUAC